UACAGAGGUCCCGAGCGUUGUUCGGAUUCACUGGGCGUAAAGGGUGCGUAGGUGGUUGUGCAAGUCUGAUGUGAAAUCUCCGGGCUUAACCCGGAAAUGGCAUUGGAAACUGCAUGGCUAGAGUGUUGGAGGGGGGACUGGAAUUCUCGGUGUAGCAGUGAAAUGCGUAGAUAUCGAGGGGAACACCAGUGGCGAAGGCGAGUCCCUGGACAACGACUGACACUGAGGCACGAAAGCUAGGGGAGCAAACAGG
rnacentral:rRNA from 1 species